CAGUUAUAAACCGACUUUCGAGGUUUAUAACUAAUAUCUCAUUUGUGGAGGUUUUCUAACAUAUUUUGUCAUUUUCAAAAAAUUUUUAUGAAAAAUUCUCGCGUUUUGUCGAAAAGUUUGAUGUAAUUAUUUAUUCAAGGUAUAUUAGCUAGUUAUAAACCUCGGACGAUCAAAGAAAACCGACACAAAUGAGAUAUAAGGCGGCUUACAGCGUGGUGUUGUCGUGAAAAUGUGAGGUGAGUCUUAAUUAAUUUGCAAUUUAAAUCACCCGUCAGUCAAUUUAAAACACCCGUCGGCUCACGACCAUUUUGAAUUUUCGCUACAGUUACAAUUGCCUUACACAAUUGCAAGUAGAGUGAUUUACUCAGUGCACGUCUGCAUGCUUGACAGAGUUUGCUCAUUG
rnacentral:lncRNA from 1 species